rnacentral:rRNA from 1 species
AGUGAACGCUGGCGGUAGGCCUAACACAUGCCAGUCGAACGGCAGCACAGUAAGAGCUUGCUCUUACGGGUGGCGAGUGGCGGACGGGUGAGGAAUACAUCGGAAUCUACUUUUUCGUGGGGGAUAACGUAGGGAAACUUACGCUAAUACCGCAUACGACCUACGGGUGAAAGCAGGGGAUCUUCGGACCUUGCGCGAUUGAAUGAGCCGAUGUCGGAUUAGCUAGUUGGCGGGGUAAAGGCCCACCAAGGCGACGAUCCGUAGCUGGUCUGAGAGGAUGAUAAGCAAAACUGGAACUGAGACACGGUCCAGACUCCAACGGGAGGCAGCAGUGGGGAAAAUUGGACAAUGGGCGCAAGCCUGAUCAGCCAUACCGCGUGGGUGAAGAAGGCCUUCGGGUUGUAAAGCCCUUUUGUUGGGAAAGAAAAGCAGCAGGUUAAUACCCCGCUGUUCUGACGGUACCCAAAGAAUAAGCACCGGCUAACUUCGUG